UACCAGCACCCCGAGUGGUCGGGACGAUUAUUGGGCCUAAAGCAUCCGUAGCCGGUCUUACAAGUCCCCCGUUAAAUCCACCUGCUCAACAGAUGGGCUGCGGAGGAUACUAUAGAGCUAGGAGGCGGGAGAGGCAAGCGGUACUUAGUGGGUAGGGGUAAAAUCCGUUGAUCCAUUGAAGACCACCAGUGGCGAAGGCGGCUUGCCAGAACGCACUCGACGGUGAGGGAUGAAAGCUGGGGGAGCAAACCGG
rnacentral:rRNA from 1 species